rnacentral:pre_miRNA from 1 species
AGCAAACACAGUAGUGUACAAUGCUAAGUUGACAUACGCAUGUACUUACUUUGUUUGUUCU